GUUGUGACGUCUGCCUAUUGUCUCAGGGCGACCCUACUUUUCCACUAAUGCUCAACUGGUCAAGGUCCACCUGAAACAAUAGAGUCGCGGUAUGACCUCAUCAUGCACCUGCGUGGCUCAAGGACGCGUACGCUAUAGACAGGGGACCUGUUAUUUAUUGAAUCACUAUGCCAAGAUUAUUUCCUUUAUUCUACUAUAACAAUUGCAUAGGAAACUAUUGCAGAAAAACAUCACAUAUGAGAGGUGAUUGCAUGGAAAUGAUCGGAAUAAAAUAUGACGGGAGAAGUAGAAAUUAUGAUUCUGAGCCCUGUGAUACAUAUUCGCACAAAAAGUUUGAGCGUAGCGCGCAAUCCUGGAGCGCGAGGGAGCUUUGAAUCUCGCGGCAGAAAUGCCCCCUCACUCGGCUGUCAGCCGCUGACGUCAUGUGACCGCGCCGUCUUUUCCCUUAUUUUUUGCGAUUUCUCGGGCGCGCGCUGGCAAGCCGACCGGGAAGGAAGCGUUGUUGCUCAUCGGACGCCGUGCGAAGGACAGGUGAUGAAUUGAACACUCUUUAGGCGACACGUCUGCUCUUCUCGACGAAACGUUUUAUGGAAUUGGAGGCUAAGUUCCCCGAGCUUCGAUUUCGCCACACGAAUGUACCGGAGGCUGUCAUGAAGACGCGGCGCAGUGACCAGUGUUUUCACUUGAAGAUGUUGCCGACCAUCAUGACUUCUCCGUGUUGUGGUCAACACUAUGGGCUCUGAACCGCAUGGACACUGGCAUCUCUGAGGCGAAAGAGCGGACCGAUGAACGCAUAGCUGUGUAACAUUGCGCUUACCAUAUCUUAGUGAUACCAGGAGCGUAACGUCUCCACAAACACUACAACAUGAAUACCAAAAUAAAGUUAGUAAAGUUCAUCUGCUAGCGAUCUGUGGGAAACCCCAAAAUACAUGGUCAAAUAAUCAUUUUCUUUUUUGAAUGGUCAUACGCAGAAUACAACACAGGCACAUGGAAUAAAUUUCCAACUGACAGGAAUGUAUUUAGUCGUAUCAUAUAUAUGCUGCGCACACAGGCACAAUACUGUUCACUAAUGAACGACACCUCAGCACAAUCGGAACAGAAAUCACAACCGCGUACGAUCCACCUCAACCCGGGCCGUCACUGCAACACAGAGGCCUGGCUACACCUUUUACACUGCCCGCAGUCUUGUUUUAUGCAAAACUUACGAGACAAAUCAUGUAAGAACGCAAGUGAAUGUCAAACGCAAAUAAAUAGCAACAGCGUCUCA